AUUCCUACUACCACUUUUCAUUUUUACCUUAACCAACUUUACCUUUAAAAUUUUAGUAGACAAAAUACCACUAUACCCCUGAAUAACUAAAUCUAAAUUACUCUCUUUCUUCCCCAAUUCCAGAUCCGAGAGUUCUCCGGGUUGAUUUUGAAUUCGACGGUGAUCGGAGCGGACGAAUUGUCCGGCGGAUUUAACGGCUCUGGCUGAGUGCUCCGGCGGAUUUUACGGUGCUGGCGAGUUCUCCGACGAAGAAGCUCGGGAGGAAAAAGACGAUCUCUCACUUUCUCCUCCAUUGACGGUGGUGACGAGCCUUGAUUCGCUUUUGGAGAAGCUCAAAGUGGAGGGGCCUUACCUUCCACCAAGCAUCAGGAGAGAUCCAGAGACAGCCUUUUGUAAUAGGUGUUGCUGGAGGCGCAGCAUUGGGAAAGACUACUGUCUGUUGCAGUAAUCUUCUUACUGACUUAAGCUUAGUGUCUUUCCUGUGUUGGCUCAGGACUCAGGAGGAAUGUGUUAGAGAUCACUACUACUAGAUUUAAGUUUUCUUUUGAAAUAACCUUUUGUUUUAUUUAAUCUAUGUGAAGGGAUCACACAAAGGACGGUGGAGAGACGGACAAGAAAGCAAAAUGGUUUUUUAGCGUCAAGAAAGCAUUCAGCCCAGAUUCAAAGAAGUCGAAGCACAGAUCCCGAGAGCCCAAAUGGUGUGAUCUUUAUCCUUCCUCCCCUGUUGGAUAACGCCAGACAUUCUCCUCCUCCACCUCCACUUGAGGUGAGAGUAGCUGAAGUGGUUGUUGAACGAAACAUCAAUCUUUCCCCUCCUUCUACAGAUGCUGUGAAUGCUACGACCACUGGUGUUCCUCUAGUCCCAUCUUCAUCAUCUUCUGCUCCUCCUGAGGUGGUUCGUCCUCGUGCUGCACCUACUCGGUUUGCUGGAAAGUCAAACGAAGAAGCGGCUGCUAUCUUGAUUCAGACUAUAUUCAGAGCCUAUUUGAGCAAUACGGGCGAUGAGGGGUUUGGUCAGGCUUAAGUCAUUGAUGGAAGGAUCUGUUGUUAAACGUCAAGCAGCAAACACUUUGAAAUGUAUGCAGACACUCUCUCGUGUACAGUCUCAAAUCCGAGAAAGGAGAAUCAGGAUGUCCGAAGAGAAUCAGGAUGUCAGUCUCAAAUAUUUAUAAAUAAAUGUAUAAACUUUUAUAAAUAGCUUAAAGUUUUGUAAAUAGUUUUAUGAACCCUUUUAAAUAGGUUUACAAACCUUUAUAAAUAGUUAUGUAAAUAUUUAUAUGGUUUUAUAGACCUUUGUAAUUUUUUAUAAACUCUAUAUAAACU